rnacentral:lncRNA from 1 species
CUGGAUGCAAGAGAGCACUGCAGUAAGUGGGUUCAAAUACAGCUUCAUAAACUGAAUUCAAAUAUAACUACCUUCUUUUGCAAGCUACAUAACCUCUUUAGGCUUCAGUUUUCUCAUCUAUACAGUGAAAAUAAUAAACUCUAUGGUUGCCCUGAGGACUAAAUAAGAUACAUCUAUAGAGCAGUUAGCAUAGAGCCUGAUGAAUAUAUGCUAAUAAUAAUGACAACAAUGGCUCAUUCUAUCAUCAAGAAGCCUGCAGACCUAUGGGGGAGGGGAUGGUAAUAAAGAGACACCAUUAGAAACAAUUAUAAUUCAAGAAAGAAAACAUUUGCAUUGGUACAAAUUAAUUCUACUAAUAAUCUCUGAAAAGUUCUCUAAUACAAACAUUUAAGAGUGUUUUCUUUAACAAACAGCAUUGUUUAUAAUAGAUUUUUUUAAAGCAACAAAUGAAAACAGCAAAAAUAUUAAGACAGGAUCAGUUAAUUAAAUUAUGGUGUGCCCACAGAAAGUGAUAGAGUGUGGUUUUUAAAAAUAUGUAGCGAGCUGUUUAAACAUCGAGAAACAGUGUAGCCCUAUUCUUGGCUCUCUCGAAUUUUUCUAAGGCUUUCAGUUUCAUCUUUAACUAAGGAGAAAUAAGCAACGGAAUACCCUGUUUAUUUUUCAAUAUCAUUCAAUAAAGAUACUUAUAUUAAAAAAUGAAGAGGAGGGAUACAUGCUCAGUUAGUAUUUUAAAAUAUUUCAGAUACGUUAUUAAGUGAAAAGAAUAAAGAAAAAAUAGGUGUAACUUAAACUUUCUUGUGAGCAUGAAAACAUAAAAAUAGGCACAUAUAGCAGGUCACAUCUAGUUGGAAGAAUCAGGGACUGUUUUCCAGGGGAUUUGGGCAACUUAAGAUGGAAAAUUUGGGAAGGGAAUUCCAGGCUGAGGAAGAGUAGGCAGGGGGGCUUGGAAUUAAAUAUGCACAGGGAGAGAGAGGCAAACCUAUGCAGAUGCCAGAGGCAACGAAUCGGGAAAGGUGCACAGGUAGCACCAGUUGAGAGUCUCUUGAAGAGUUAGGCUGAUUAUGUAGGACUUUCAAUGGCAGUAAGCACUUGUUACAGAAGUUAUGGAAGACUUAUAGAGAAAGAAUAAUAUGAUGAGAGUUGCACAUUAGAGGUGGCCAUAUGGAGGGGUGUGUAGGGAAGAGUGGAGGCAGCAAAAAAUGAAGUAAUGCAUUUAGGAUGUUACUACAAGUUGCCUGGUUUCCACUUCUCCCAUGUUGAUAAAGCUUCAGUUUUCAUUAUUUUUGAGAAACUUCCAUACACUUUUCCAUAGUGGAAGCACCAAUUUACAUUCCCACCAACAGUGUAGGAGAGUUCCUUUUUCUCCACACUCUCGCCAGAGUUUGUUAUUUGUAGACUUUUGUAGUCACCAUUCUGAGUGGUGUGAGGCUAUAUAACUCAGUGUGGUUUUGAUUUGCAUUUCUCUAAUAAUUAGUGAUGAUGGGCAUCUUUCCAUGUGCCUAGUGGUCAUCUGUAUGUCUUCUUUGUAGAAAGGUACAUGUAGGUCUUCUGCCUAUUUUUUUUUUGAGUGGUUUUUAUUUUUUGAUACUGAGUUAUAUGAGCUGUGUAUAUUUUGUAAAUGAAGCCCUUGUCAGUCAUACCACUUGCAAAUAUUUUCUCCCACUCUGUAAGUUUUUUUCAUUGUAUUUAUGAUUUUUUUUUUUUGAUGUGCAAAAGCUUUUAAGUUUGGUUAGGUCCCAUUUGUUUAUUUUUGCUUUUAUUCCUAUUGCCUUAGGAGACUGAUCUAAGAAAACAUUGGUACAAUUUAUGCCAGAGAAUGUUUUGCUUAUAUUUUCUUUCAGGUGUUUUAUGGUGUCACAUCUUAGAUUUAAGUGCGUAAGCCAUUUUGAACUUAUUUUUUGUGUAUGGUGUGGGGGUGUGUUCUAACUUCAUUGAUUUACAUGUGGCUGUCCAACUUUUCCAACACCAACUGUUAAAGAGGAUGUCUUUCGCCCACUGUGUAUUCUUGCCUCUUUUAUCAAAGAUGAAUUGACCAUAGGUGUGUGGGUUUAUUUUGGGGCUCUCUAUUCUGCCCUAUUGAUCCAUAUUUCUAUUUUUGUGCCAAUACCAAAUUUUGAUUAUUGUAGCUUAGUAGGAUUUUCUGAAAAUUAGGAGGGUUAUGCUUCUUGCUUUGUUAUUUUUCCUUAGGAUUUCUUUGGAAAUGUGGGGCUUUUUUGGUUCCAUAUAAAUAUUAGGAUUAUUUGCUCUAGUUUGGUGAAAAAUAUCAUGGGUAAUUUGAUAGGGAUCACAUUAAAUCUGUAGAUUACUUUGGGUAGUAUGGCCACAAUAUCCUAUGAUAAAACAUAAUGGAGAAUAAUAUGAAAAAGGAUAUAUAGGUAUAACUGAGUCACUUUGCUGUACAACAGAAAUUAAUACAUUGUAAAUCAGCUAUAUUUCAAUAAAAUUUUAAAAAAGAGAAAUAUACAAGAGUACUCUAUUUUUCUUAAUGAGGACUACCCUCAGGGGAAACUAGUUAACUAGAACCUAAGUGAGCUAAGGGAAGGAAAAUACCUAAAUUCAGCUCCUGUUAGCAAUCCUGUGCCACCUAAAGGGGAGAAAAAAACUAAGAAACACAUGUAAAGUUCACAGUCACAGGGAAAGGCUCACUAAAAGCCUGAGAUUUAAUCGUAGGACUAUAGAAUGACCCCUUCCCCCAGGCCUCACCAUCACAUUACUAAAAACCUCUUUACAGCAGACCCUUUUACACAGUAUAUCAUGUCUAGCUAUGAAGAAAACAAUUACAAGGCAUACUAAAAGCAAAUCACAAUUUGAAAAGACAGAGCAAAUGUCAGAACCAGAUAUGGCAGAGAUGCUGGAAUGAUCAAACAAAGAAUUAAAACUAAGAUUGAUAGGCUAAGAGUUCUAAUGGAUAAAGCAGUUAGCAUGCAAGAACAGAGUAAUGUAAGCAGAGAGAUAACAAUGCUAAGAAAGAACUAAAAGGAAAUGCUAGAUGUCUACAUGUAUUUCUCUAGUAAGCAUUCAUUAAAUACUUUCUGUGUUUCCCAGCC